UACGUAGGGGGCUAGCGUUGUCCGGAAUCAUUGGGCGUAAAGGGUGCGUAGGUGGCGCCGUAAGUCAGGUGUGAAAUCUCGGGGCUCAACCCCGAAACUGCACUUGAUACUGCGGUGCUCGAGUACUGGAGAGGAGAUUGGAAUUUACGGUGUAGCAGUGAAAUGCGUAGAUAUCGUAAGGAAGACCAGUGGCGAAGGCGAAUCUCUGGACAGUUACUGACACUGAGGCACGAAGGCCAGGGGAGCAAACGGG
rnacentral:rRNA from 1 species